GAACGCUGGCGGCGUGCCUAAUACAUGCACGUCGAGCGAACAGAUGAGGAGCUUGCUCCUCUGACGUUAGCGGCGGACGGGUGAGUAACACGUGGAUAACCUACCUAUAAGACUGGGAUAACUUCGGGAAACCGGAGCUAAUACCGGAUAAUAUAUUGAACCGCAUGGUUCAAUAGUGAAAGACGGUUUUGCUGUCACUUAUAGAUGGAUCCGCGCCGCAUUAGCUAGUUGGUAAGGUAACGGCUUACCAAGGCGACGAUGCGUAGCCGACCUGAGAGGGUGAUCGGCCACACUGGAACUGAGACACGGUCCAGACUCCUACGGGAGGCAGCAGUAGGGAAUCUUCCGCAAUGGGCGAAAGCCUGACGGAGCAACGCCGCGUGAGUGAUGAAGGUCUUCGGAUCGUAAAACUCUGUUAUUAGGGAAGAACAAAUGUGUAAGUAACUAUGCACGUCUUGACGGUACCUAAUCAGAAAGCCACGGCUAACUACGUG
rnacentral:rRNA from 1 species